rnacentral:rRNA from 1 species
CAGGAGCCGAAGAAGGGCGUGGUUGACUGCGAAAAGCCGCGGAGAGCUGUGAACAAGCUUUGACCCGCGGAUACCCGAAUGGGGAAACCCGGCAGGAGUAAUGUCCUGUCACUCUCGUCUGAAGGACCUUUUGGUCUGUAGUAGGGCGACAGAGGUAAGUGGGGGAACUGAAACAUCUAAGUACCCCGAGGAAUAGAAAGCAAAAAAUGCGAUUCCCGUAGUAGCGGCGAGCGAAAUGGGAAUAGCCCAAACCGUGUACAUGUGAUAGGCCCAGGCCGUUGUGGACACGGGGUUGUAGGAGUCGACAGGUCCUUCUGGGAGGACCAGGAAGUCAAAAAAAUGGACGUUAACCGAAGGUGGUUGGAAAGCCCCGCCGAAGACGGUGAAAGCCCGGUAGGUGAAAACGAGCCAAUCUUCCGUCGAAUUUCCUGAGUACCACGGGACACGAGAAACCCUGUGGGAAACCGGGAGGACCAUCUCCCAAGGCUAAAUACUGUCUGGCGACCGAUAGCGAACUAGUAACGUGAGUGAAAGGUGAAAAGUACCCCGGGAGGGGAGUGAAAUAGCACCUGAAACCAUAUGCCUACAAUCAGUCAGAGCACUAUGUCGGCUCGGGAUGCGGAACAAUCGUAAGAACGCGAGGCUUGCCACUUCGGUGGCAGGAUUCACGGGACGAUGGUUGGCCUGCGUCCCAUAACGGCCGAAACGUGUGAUGGCGUGCCUUUCGAAGAAUGAACCGGCGAGUUAAUCAUCGCGGCGAGGUUAAGGGCCAAAGGUCCGGAGCCGCAGCGAAAGCGAGUCUUAAUAGGGCGUCCGAGUCGUAGUGAUUAGACCCGAAACCAGGUGAGCUAACCAUGGCCAGGAAGAAGCGAAAGUAACAUUUCGUGGAGGUCCGAACGCACCAAUGCUGCAAAAUUGGGCGAUGAGCUGUGGUUAGGGGUGAAACGCCAAUCGAACCUGGAGAUAGCUGGUUCUCCCCGAAAUAGUUUUAGGGCUAGCGUCCGGAUUAAGUUUGUUGGAGGUAGAGCACUGAUCGGGUGCGGGGGCAUAUCGCCUACCAAUCCCUAUCAAACUCCGAAUGCCAACAAACAUACCGGGCAGUCAGACUGCGAAGGCUAACCUCCGUAGUCAAGAGGGAAACAACCCAGACCGCCAGCUAAGGCCCCCAAAUCUCGGCUAAGUGGGAAACGAUGUGAGAUUGCAAAGACAACCAGGAUGUUGGCUUAGAAGCAGCCACCAUUGAAAGAGUGCGUAACUGCUCACUGGUCAAGUGGUCUUGCGCGGAAGAUGUAACGGGGCUCAAGCCGAGUGCCGAAGCUGCGGGAGUGUGUUUGGCUUUGCCAAUUGCACUCGGUAGGGGAGCGUUCCACGGGCGGUGAAGGUCGAGCGCGAGCACGGCUGGAGCGCGUGGAAGUGAGAAUGCCGGUAUGAGUAGCGUAAUGCACGUGAGAAACGUGCACACCGUAAGCCUAAGGUUUCCUGAGGAAGGUUAAUCCACUCAGGGUUAGUCGGGCCUAAGUCGAGGCCGCAAGGCGUAGACGAUGGACAACAGGUUUAUAUUCCUGUACCACCAACUUUCGUUAAGCAAAGGGGGGACCCGGCGGGGUAGGUUGAGCGCAUUCAUGGCUAUAUGCGUCCAAGUAUGUAGGGUUGCUCCAUAGGUAAAUCCGUGGAGCUAUAUCCGAGAUACGAUGGAAAGACCAAGCGCGAGCGCGGUCAAUUCAAUUGAGCCCUGCCGGCGAGAAAAUCCUCGUUGUUUGAAUUUAGGUGCCCGUACCGUAAACCGACACUGGUAGGCGGGGGUAAACGCCCCAAGGUGAUCGGGAUAACCUCUGCUAAGGAACUCGGCAAAUUAACCCCGUAACUUAGGGAUAAGGGGUGCCCCAUUAGGAUGAAGGAUCCUUGCGAUCCGGAGUCUGAAGGGGCCGCAGUGCACAGGCUCAAGCGACUGUUUAACAAAAACACAGGUCUCUGCUAACGCGAAAGCGGAUGUAUAGGGGCUGACUCCUGCCCAGUGCCAGAAGGUUAAGUGAAAAGGUGUAACAGCUUUGAAAUGAAGCCCUGGUGAACGGCGGCCGUAACUCUAACGGUCCUAAGGUAGCGAAAUUCCUUGUCGGGUAAGUUCCGACCCGCACGAAUGGAGUAACGAUUUGAGCACUGUCUCGGCAGGGGACCCGGCGAAAUUGAAUUGCCCGUGAAGAUGCGGGCUACCCGCGACAGGACAAAAAGACCCCGGGAGCUUUACUACAUCCUGGGACUGGUUUCGGGAUGUACUUAUGUAGGAUAGGUGGGAGACUUUGAAACUGGGACGCUAGUCUCGGUGGAGUCGCCCUUGAAAUACCACCUUGGUGCAUUCUAUAACCUAACCCGCGGCCGUAAUCCGGCGCGGAGACAAUCUCAGGGGGGUAGUUUGACUGGGGCGGUCGCCUCCUAAAAGGUAACGGAGGCGCCCAAAGGUUCCCUCAGGCUGGAUGGAAAUCAGCCGUAGAGCGUAAAGGCAUAAGGGAGCUUGACUGCGAGACAUACACGUCGAGCAGAGACGAAAGUCGGGCUUAGCGACCCUACAUUUCCGAAUGGAAGGGAUGUAGCUAACGGCUAUAAGUUACCCCGGGGAUAACAGGCUAAUAGCGCCCAAUAGUCCACAUAGACGGCGCUGUUUGGCACCUCGAUGUCGGCUCGUCGCAUCCUGGAGCUGAAGCAGGUUCCAAGGGUUGGGCUGUUCGCCCAUUAAAGCGGUACGCGAGCUGGGUUCAGAACGUCGUGAGACAGUUCGGUCUCUAUCCGUCGUGGGCGUAAGAGAUUUGAGGGAAGCUAACCGAUAGUACGAGAGGAACCGGUUGGACGAACCUCUAGUGCACGAGUCGUUCCGCCUGGGGCGCAGCUCGGUAGCUAUGUUCGGCAGGGAUAACCGCUGAAAGCAUCUAAGUGGGAAGCCCCACCCAAGAUCAGAUCUCUCACAGCGAUAAGCUGGUAAGACCCCAGAAAGACUAUCUGGUUGAUAGGCCGCAGGUGUAAGGCUAGUAAUAGUUUCAGCCGAGCGGUACUAACGGUCGAGGGCUUGUUAU